rnacentral:lncRNA from 1 species
CCCCAUUGGUUAUGUCUGUCACAUGUGAGCUCUGCAGUCUGAGACCAGCUCCCUUCAAUGUGGCAUUUUGUACAACUUUUUGUUUUACUUGGAAUAAACAGUUGCCAAGAUUUCCCUUGGUUUAGUGCUGUCUUCCCACUCAUCCCUAGACUCUGGGCCAGAAGGGGGCUCUCUUUGUGGACUGGCUGAGUCCUCAGCGGAUGCCAGAGACUGGGCUGUGUGUGUGCACAGGCAGACCU